rnacentral:tRNA from 1 species
GCCUGGGUGGCUCAGUCGGUCGAGCGUCCGACUUCAGCUCAGGUCAUGAUCCCACAGCUUGUGGGUUCGAGCCCCAUGUCGGGCC